rnacentral:rRNA from 1 species
UACGAAGGGGGCUAGCGUUGUUCGGAAUUACUGGGCGUAAAGCGCGCGUAGGCGGCUUUGCAAGUCGGGUGUGAAAUCCCCGGGCUUAACCUGGGAACUGCAUUUGUGACUGGCGGGCUAGAGUAUGGCAGAGGGGGGUAGAAUUCCACGUGUAGCAGUGAAAUGCGUAGAGAUGUGGAGGAAUACCGAUGGCGAAGGCAGCCCCCUGGGCCAAUACUGACGCUGAGACGCGAAAGCGUGGGGAGCAAACAGG